CCUUUGGUCUCUUGGCGCUCUCGUGCCUUUGAUAGGGUGUUUCUUGGAUUCACGGCAUCUUCUUCGUCAACGAGUCGGCCUCAUUCAUGCAGUAUGUGUUCGCAGUCUGCAACGGGCUCCAGGGCGUUUAUAUCUUCGUAUUCAACUGCAGUUUGAAUGGACAGGUUAGAAAUGGCUUCAAGACGGAAAGAAUCAGGCGCCGAAACAAAUCAAUGACGAGUUUGUUCUCACUG